GUCUCUUAGUCACAUACCUUCCUCACUAAUCUUAUCUGGAGAUAUCAGCUCAGCUCCUCGGAUAUUCCAGAUGUGGGUUCACCGAGGGAAAGAAGGUGAUUUUGACAGUGGACUAUUGUUGGGAGAGUUUGAAUAUAAGACUUCAGGACCAUGGAGACAAUCUUUUGCUGUUGAUAGCUUUAUUGUCAAAGAGCCAGUUGACGUAGUAGAGUUUCGAUUUUUGAAAAACUACGGACACCCCAACUACACGUGCGUGUACAGAGUCCAUGUUCAUGGUACAACAUCGUAAAGCUCAACUAGUCAACUCCUCAUCCGACAGGCAACCAUUCCCUGAUUAUUUUCCGUAUAAAAGACUAUUUAUGUUGCAAGUCCUCUUACAUUUAAAUUUCCUUCAGUUAGAAAAUUGUCCUAAACUAAGUUUGAUUUUCUUGCCCUAUUUAUACCUACUGAAUAGCAAUGAAGAAC